rnacentral:tRNA from 1 species
GGGCUCGUGGUCUAAACUGGAAAAGCUUUUCUUUUGGCAGCAAUGGAAAAGAACUAUUAUCCAGAGUGAUGCUUCCAUGGCAAGGAAGAGGCUCCGGGUUCAAAUCCCGGCGAGUCCA